rnacentral:rRNA from 1 species
UACGGGGGGGGCAAGCGUUGUUCGGAAUUACUGGGCGUAAAGGGCUCGUAGGCGGCCAACUAAGUCGGAUGUGAAAUCCCCAGGCUUAACCUGGGAACUGCAUCCGAUACUGGAUGGCUUGAAUCCGGGAGAGGGAUGCAGAAUUCCAGGUGUAGCGGUGAAAUGCGUGGAUAUCUGGAGGAAUACCGGUGGCGAAGGCGGAUCUCUGGGCCUUACCUGACGCUCAGGUGCGAAAGCUAGGGGAGCGAACAGG